AUUGAACGCUGGCGGCAGGCCUAACACAUGCAAGUCGAACGAGUGGCGGACGGGUGAGUAAUGUCUGGGAAACUGCCUGAUGGAGGGGGAUAACUACUGGAAACGGUAGCUAAUACCGCAUACCAUCAGAUGUGCCCAGAUGGGAUUAGCUAGUAGGUAGGGUAACGGCUCACCUAGGCGACGAUCCCUAGCUGGUCUGAGAGGAUGACGAGCCACACUGGAACUGAGACACGGUCCGACCUCCUACGGGUGGAAGCAGUGGGAAAUAUUGCAAAAUGGGCGAAAGCCUGAUGCACCCAGGCCGCGUGUAUGAAGAAGGCCUUCGGGUUGUAAAGUACUUUCAGCGGGGAGGCGUUACCCGCAGAAGAAGCACCGGCUAACUCCGUGCCAGCAGCCGCGGUAAUUC
rnacentral:rRNA from 1 species